AGGCAGUUGGCUUCCUUUCGUUUUUCCCUUGCCUGCCUCGUCCAUAGGGAAAGAACGGGACUACCUAGAAUUAUCGGCACCCUGCUUUUUCUGUAGGCUCUACCUCCUAGCUACAGAGAUUAGCACUGCGGUUAUUACUUAUGAGAACAAUAUCUUCAGUAUGUGUAGAUUCCAUUCACUGAAGAAAAAAUUAACCUCAUUUUGUGGCUAAAGAAACUGAUCGUGGAGACGGAAAGCAACACUACGUAAGGUCAUCAGAGCAGAUGUUAUAUCCUCUAUUUGACCGAUCAGAUCAGAACAAAAGAAAAAGUUGUGGAGGGUUAACAUAUCUCAGAAGAGGCAUCUUCUGACACCAGUCCCUGGUCUUCCUGGGUCAUUUCUCCCUUUGCGAGGCACUAGGACACUGCAGGGACUUCAGACAUCGGCUUCCAGGGGUCCCGCAGGCCUGCCCAUCUCUGUCCCAUUCAAUCCUGCAGGCCUCCUGAGGGACAAGAGCUGGCUCAAGAUAACCUCACGAGUACCUCUUCUCCACAGUCCUUCUUCUUGGAAUACCAAUUCCAGCGCCAGUGCUCUCAGCUUGAGUGGUUUAAAGCAUUUACAAAUGCGCUGCCAAACAUC